rnacentral:rRNA from 1 species
GACGAACGCUGGCGGCGUGCUUAACACAUGCAAGUCGAACGGAAAGGCCCUGCUUUUUUGGGGUGCUCGAGUGGCGAACGGGUGAGUAACACGUGAGUAACCUGCCCUUGACUUUGGGAUAACUUCAGGAAACUGGGGCUAAUACCGGAUAGGAGCUCCUGCUGCAUGGUGGGGGUUGGAAAGUUUCGGCGGUUGGGGAUGGACUCGCGGCUUAUCAGCUUGUUGGUGGGGUAGUGGCUUACCAAGGCUUUGACGGGUAGCCGGCCUGAGAGGGUGACCGGCCACAUUGGGACUGAGAUACGGCGCAGACUCCUACGGGAGGCAGCAGUGGGGAAUAUUGCACAAUGGGCGGAAGCCUGAUGCAGAAACGCCGCGUGCGGGAUGACGGCCUUCGGGUUGUAAACCGCUUUCGCCUGUGACGAAGCGUGAGUGACGGUAAUGGGUAAAGAAGCACCGGCUAACUACGUG